rnacentral:rRNA from 1 species
UGGGGAAUAUUGCACAAUGGGCGCAAGCCUGAUGCAGCCAUGCCGCGUGUGUGAAGAAGGCCUCGGGUUGUAAAGCAUUUCAGCGAGGAGGAAGGUGGUGAACUUAAUACGUUCAUCAAUUGACGUUACUCGCAGAAGAAGCACCGGCUAACUCCGUGCCAGCAGCCGCGGUAAUACGGAGGGUGCAAGCGUUAAUCGGAAUUACUGGGCGUAAAGCGCACGCAGGCGGUUUGUUAAGUCAGAUGUGAAAUCCCCCGGGCUCAACCUGGGAACUGCAUUUGAAACUGGCAAGCUAGAGUCUCGUAGAGGGGGGUAGAAAUUCCAGGUGUAGCGGUGAAAUGCGUAGAGAUCUGGAGGAAUACCGGUGGCGAAGGCGGCCCCCUGGACGAAGACUGACGCUCAGGUGCGAAAAGCGUGGGGAGCAAAACAGGAUUAGAUACCCUGGUAGUCCACGCUGUAAAACGAUGUCGAUUUUGGAGGUUGUGCCCUUGAGGCGUGGCUUCCGGAGCUAACGCGUU